rnacentral:tRNA from 1 species
GGCCUUGUAGCUCAACUAUUAGAUUGUGCGCUGUACAAAAGCAUGGGCGGCCUCCAUGCGUGGGUUCGAAUCCCAUCGAGGCUA